rnacentral:lncRNA from 1 species
UACUCCAUUUUAUAAUUAUAAUAAAAGAUCUUAAUCAUUUAUUAAUAAAAAAAAUAAAAAUUAUUAGAUAUUUUAGACUAAAUUAUAAAAAAUCUUCUUAUAACCUCCAUUCAAAAACCUAUAUUUUACCCCGCUAACAUUUCUAAGUUGUUAAAUUUAGCCUCCUUCUGUUAGGGUUCUAUCACUAUUCUGUUCAUUUCUUAUAAUUUAUAUCGAAAAUAUCUUUCAAAAUGACAAAUAUAUGAAAAAGUUAUUUUUUCCCUUAUAGAAGAAAUAAGGGUAAUUUGGUUAUUUUACCCUCUUUGUUAACGCCGCACAUCUGAAAAUAUUUUUGAAAUUUUAAGGAGGCAAAAUAUACGUAGAUUUUUAAAAAUCAGAGAGAAAAAAAUGAAAAAACAAAUAUUUAUAGAGAGAUUUUCUGUAAUUUAACCUAUAUUUUACCUUGUAGCGGGUCAAAGUGUCACACCCCAAUAAUCCCACAUCGGAUGGGAAUGAGGAUGUGAUUAGGUAUAUAAGAGAUUUAGACACUAGUAAUAAUAACUGGACUUAAGCAUUUUGGGCCAGUGGUUGGGCCUAACGAGUUAUUAUUGCUAGCGGGUUUGGUCGUUACAUUUGGUAUCAGAGCCAAUCACCAGCCGAAAAUGUGUGGCGAGUCUCGGCUGAGCCAGGGUCUGAAAGACAAGGUGAUAGGCUAUGUCGGAGUCUGAAUGACAAAGGUGUCAGGGUCUGGAUGACAAGUCUAGUGAGAGGUAUCACCUAGUGAUCUUGCGUUGUGUGUGUGAUUGGACUGACGAGGACGUCAGGGCCUUAACGUGGGGAGUCUGUCACACCCCAAUAAUCCCACAUCGGAUUGAAUGGGGAUGUGAUUUGGUAUAUAAAAGACUUAGACACUAGUAAUAAUAACUGGGCUUAAGCAGUUUGGGUCGGUGGCUAGGUCGUUACACAAAGAUUACUUUAUGUUGAGAGUAUUUUCAGAAUAAAUAUUGCAAAAUUUAAGAAAAAUCUAGAUUAAUAUUGUAAGGAAGUGAAUUCUCGAAAUUCGAGAGUUGGACUUCGCUCAGAAUCGACUAAUUGUCGAGUGGGUAUACUUCGAAAAAGCCGAAGAA